GACGAACGCUGGCGGCGCGCUUAACACAUGCAAGUCGAGCGAGAACCAGACCUUCGGGUCUGGGGAAAGCGGCGAACGGGUGAGUAACACGUGGGUAACCCACCCUUGGUACUGGGAUAGCCCGGGGAAACCCGGAUUAAUACCGGAUGGCCCAACAGCUCUUCGGGGCGGUUGGAAAAGGUAGCUUCGGCCUCCGACCAAGGACGGGCACGCGGCGGAUUAGCUUGUUGGUGGGGGAACGGCCCACCAAGGCGACGAUCCGUAGCUGGUCUGAAAGGACGAUCAGCCACAAUGGGACUGAGACACGGCCCAGACUCCUACGGGAGGCAGCAGUGGGGAAUCUUGCGCAAUGGGCGAAAGCCUGACGCAGCGACGCCGCGUGGGGGAAGAAGGCUUUCGGGUUGUAAACCCCUUUCAGGAAGGACGAAGCCACUCGGGUGAAUAGCCCAGAGGGUGACGGUACUUCCAGAAGAAGCCCCGGCUAACUACGUGCCAGCAGCCGCGGUAA
rnacentral:rRNA from 1 species